rnacentral:rRNA from 1 species
AUUGAACGCUGGCGGCAGGCCUAACACAUGCAAGUCGAGCGGAUGAAGGGAGCUUGCUCCUGGAUUCAGCGGCGGACGGGUGAGUAAUGCCUAGGAAUCUGCCUGGUAGUGGGGGAUAACGUCCGGAAACGGGCGCUAAUACCGCAUACGUCCUGAGGGAGAAAGUGGGGGAUCUUCGGACCUCACGCUAUCAGAUGAGCCUAGGUCGGAUUAGCUAGUUGGUGGGGUAAAGGCCUACCAAGGCGACGAUCCGUAACUGGUCUGAGAGGAUGAUCAGUCACUGGAACUGAGACACGGUCCAGACUCCUACGGGAGGCAGCAGUGGGGAAUAUUGGACAAUGGGCGAAAGCCUGAUCCAGCCAUGCCGCGUGUGUGAAGAAGGUCUUCGGAUUGUAAAGCACUUUAAGUUGGGAGGAAGGGCAGUAAGUUAAUACCUUGCUGUUUUGACGUUACCAACAGAAUAAGCACCGGCUAACUUCGUG